GACGAACGCUGGCGGCGUGCUUAACACAUGCAAGUCGAACGGAAAGGCCCUGCUUUUGUGGGGUGCUCGAGUGGCGAACGGGUGAGUAACACGUGAGUAACCUGCCCUUGACUUUGGGAUAACUUCAGGAAACUGGGGCUAAUACCGGAUAGGAGCUCCUGCCGCAUGGUGGGGGUUGGAAAGUUUCGGCGGUUGGGGAUGGACUCGCGGCUUAUCGGCUUGUUGGUGGGGUAGUGGCUUACCAAGGCUUUGACGGGUAGCCGGCCUGAGAGGGUGACCGGCCACAUUGGGACUGAGAUACGGCCCAGACUCCUACGGGAGGCAGCAGUGGGGAAUAUUGCACAAUGGGCGGAAGCCUGAUGCAGCAACGCCGCGUGCGGGAUGACGGCCUUCGGGUUGUAAACCGCUUUCGCCUGUGACGAAGCGUGAGUGACGGUAAUGGGUAAAGAAGCACCGGCUAACUACGUG
rnacentral:rRNA from 1 species